UACGGAGGGUGUAAGCGUUAAUUGGAAUUACUGGGCGUAAAGCGCGCGUAGGCGGUUUUUUAAGUCGGAUGUGAAAGCCCCGGGCUCAACCUGGGAACUGCAUCCGAUACUGGAAGACUAGAAUGCGGGAGAGGGAGGUAGAAUUCCAUGUGUAGCAGUGAAAUGCGUAGAUAUAUGGAGGAAUACCAGUGGCGAAGGCGGCCUCCUGGCUCGACAUUGACGCUGAGGUGCGAAAGCGUGGGGAGCAAACGGG
rnacentral:rRNA from 1 species